CGUCAAGUCCUCAUGGCCCUUAUAUCCAGGGCUACACACGUGCUACAAUGGCCGGUACAAAGGGUCGCAAUACCGGCGAGGUGGAGACUAAUCCCAAAAAGCCGGUCUCAGUUCGGAUUGGAGUCUGCAACUCGACUCCAUGAAGUCGGAAUCGCUAGUAAUCGCGUAUCAGCGUGACGCGGUGAAUACGUUCCCGGGCCGUU
rnacentral:rRNA from 1 species